UCUCCGUAGGUGAACCUGCGGAGGGAUCAUUACUGAGCGAGGGUCUCCCGGCCCGUCCUCCAACCCUUUGUUGUUAAAAAUACCUUGUUGCUUUGGCGGGACCGCUCGGUCUCGAGCCGCUGGGGAUUCGUCCCAGGCGAGCGCCCGCCAGAGUUAAACCAAACUCUUGUUAUUAAACCGGUCGUCUGAGUUAAAAUUUUGAAUAAAUCAAAACUUUCAACAACGGAUCUCUUGGUUCUCGCAUCGAUGAAGAACGCAGC
rnacentral:misc_RNA from 1 species